GAAUGUGAGUGAUCUCUGGCCCAAACAUCUAUCAGCCAGGUGAUUCUAGAUUGAUUUGGCUGAUCUGGAGGGUUAGAUGGCUGUCCUCUAGCCUACACUGUUUCAAAUGAAACCCUCCAAAGGCAGAGAACUCGGUCCUAAAGAAAAACUUUCCAAAUAGAGACAUACUUGUCUUCCAAGUGGCUAAGUCGAGAAGAGAGAGACACUUCUUUUGCUAGCCGAG
rnacentral:snRNA from 1 species